CGCCGCAACAAUGUUUCCUAGUUUGCCCAGGGCUUAAGGCGUAUGGGUAAAUAUCAGGAUUUGGGGCGCCUUACUCGAUAGAACUAAUUGUUGAAGGUAUUAAGCCCUGGGCAAACUAGGAAACAUUGUUGCGGAAACAUUGU